rnacentral:rRNA from 1 species
CAAUACUCUGCUGACGACCGGCGCACGGGUGCGUAACGCGUAUGCAACCCACCUUGUACAGGGGGAUAACGGAGAGAAAUUUCCACUAAUAUCCCAUAGUGUUACGGAAUCGCAUGGUUCUGUAACUAGAGCUUCGGUGGUACAAGAUGGGCAUGCGUGACAUUAGGUAGUUGGCGGGGCAACGGCCACCAAGCCGACGAUGUCUAGGGGAGCUGAGAGGCUUAUCCCCCACACUGGUACUGAGACACGGACCAGACUCCUACGGGAGGCAGCAGUGAGGAAUAUUGGUCAAUGGACGGAAGUCUGAACCAGCCAUGCCGCGUGGGAAGGAAGAAGGUCCUAUGGGUUGUAAACUCCUUUUGUUCCAGAGUAAUAAGGUCUUUGCGAAGACUGAUGAGAGUAUGGGACGAAUAAGCAUCGGCUAACUCCGUGCCAGCAGCAGC